CACACGCACGCACACACACACACACACACACACACACACACACACACACACAUCCACACACUCAUUCACACCUCAGUCCAAUUUAGAGUCACCAAUCCACCUACCUCAAUGUUUUUGAGAGGUGGGAGGUAACUGGAGAACCCGAAGGAAUCCCAUGCCGAGCUCAGGAUCAAAUCGGGGAACCUGAAUCAAUGAUAGGGCAGGGAAAAGACCAAGUAUCACUGAGACCAAGUCCAGGGGGUGGAGUCAGACCUGAUCCAGUUCCUCCUACAUGGGCGGAGUUGAAAGAAAAGCUUAAGGGGUGGAGACAAGUCAGUAUGUUUCAGGCUGGAUUAGUGAGUUGUUGAUAAGUGUGGUGUUCCGUGUUGUCAAGAGUCUUAUCGUUAGAGGUGAGGAUCAGGGUUAUAGGAGGUCCAGCUCUACCCACUGGACAUUUGGUCCCAUGUAUUAUAUUGUGUUACUAACAAGAAAUUUCACACACUGAAGGCCUGUAUCACCAUUAUCACCACAUGUCGUGUGACAUUUCAGGUCUUGCUGUGAAAAAGAGGACCCCUACUCUCCACUACAGUGCGCACUUAUCAGAGCCCAGCUGUUCUGUCAACUGUGUACUUCCCUUCUGGAUAAUUAGGAACAGCGGGGGGAAACAGCAGGACAUGGGGGUGGAGUAUUCGUGAUUACAGAGAGACAGGGCUGGGGGAUGUCUCACCAAUCUGUGGUCCAAUGUUGCCAUCUAGUGAGGAUUCAAAUAAUGAAAAAACCUUUCCAUCACCAUACAUCCGGGUGACUAGGAACAGGAAAUUGUUCAACCCUGACUUCCUGUUUCACAGGCGUACAAAUAUGAGGGCAAUAAUUAAGAAGUUCCCGUCAACUGGAAAUGUUAUGAAUCAACCUGGAAUUGGACGUGUGUCUAUAUCGUCUCAACGCACUGUGAAGAGGAUGGUUCGAGUGGACAAAAAAUCUCCAAGGAUCACAGCUGGAGAAUUGCAGAAGUUAGUUACGUCUUGGGGUCAGAACGUCUCCAAAACUACAAUCCGAAGUCACCUACAUCACCACAAGUUGUUUGGAAGGGUUUCAAGGAAAAAGCCUCUACUCUCAUCCAAAAACAAACUCGAGCGUCUUCAGUGUGCCAGACACUACUGGACCUUCAAAUGGGAUCGGGUUCUCUGGUCAGAUGAAACCAGAAUAGAGAUUUUUGGUAAUAAACACCAGAGGUGGUUUUGACGCACAUAACAGGAACCUUUACAAAUGGAUUAAAUUAUGACAUUGUUAUUUAACGAAUAAAAAAGUGAUCAUUGGCUAAAUAAUCAACGUUCAGGAUGGUAAUACUAACUCACCUUCAUCACAGCACCCUGUCAUUGAUUAUUUUUCUAUAACAGAACACCACAACAUAUUUUAUUAUUUAAUUAACACAAACUGUUUGGUCAAAACAUCUAACUCCACCAGUGUAGCUGUAGUAAUAGCAUGUACACAUUACACAUGAUGUCGUCGUCGUCCCCAACCAUACUAAUAAAACUAGGAGGGUGUUCUUAAUUAACAUUUUAUUUAGAGUGUGGCUAGUUUCAGUUAUCUUUACUUCAUUACACAGAGCUCAUUAUAUUACUCCGUCUGGAAGUAUUGUAAGAACACUUACUUAUUCUGUAAAAUGAAUAAAAUACGCUUUUUGUAAAAACUACAUUUCAGGAAUUUACAGCG